CAAAAGGUCAAAUUGGAAACAUUUGGAUGAAAUAGGGGGAGACUUCACUCUCAAAAUUUGAAAAGCUAAAAUUUAGCAACUUGAGCCCUUCUAAAACUAAUUCUAAGAUAAGUAUCAAUAGGCCCAUACUCAAUAUUUUGUAAUCAUCAAAAAGGAAAAGAUUGAGGAUGAUAGUGGUAUUUUGAUGAUUAAUACAAUGAUUAAGAGUAUGUUACAAGUUAAUUCGAUACAUCAUUAAUAAGUCUGUCACUCUCGAUACAUUAGUAUAAUGAGAUUAAGAUGUAUUUCAAUGAUUAUUAAUGAGAUAAAAUUUGUGAUAGGAAAGGGAUAGUAAAUUCUAAAUUCUAAUUCGGCAAAGUUUCAAGUGAAACAUACUCUUAAGUGGACAAUAGUAAUUUUCAUUGUUUGGAGUAUGUAGCACUACCAUGACAUAUAUUCAAAAUUGUUUAAAGGUUAUUUCAUUGAUUAUAUGGAUGAAUCUAACCUUAAGUUGCAGCAAAGU
rnacentral:lncRNA from 1 species